rnacentral:rRNA from 1 species
CAAGUCCUCAUGGCCCUUAUAGGUGGGGCUACACACGUCAUACAAUGGCUGGUACAAAGGGUUGCCAACCCGCGAGGGGGAGCUAAUCCCAUAAAGCCAGUCGUAGUCCGGAUCGCAGUCUGCAACUCGACUGCGUGAAGUCGGAAUCGCUAGUAAUCGUGGAUCAGAAUGUCACGGUGAAUACGUUCCCGGGUCUUGUACACACCGCCCGUCACACCAUGGGAGCGGGUUCUGCCAGAAGUAGUUAGCCUAACCGUAAGGAGGGCGAUUACCACGGCAGGGUUCGUGACUGGGGUGAAGUCGUAACAA